rnacentral:lncRNA from 1 species
UUUUUUUUUUUUGUACAUCUCAUUACAAAAUAUAAAUAAAAAAUUCAAAAUAAACAUACAUUACACUAAACAAAUUUGAAAUUACACAAUGACCCGAAACAGUGCUAAAAAACUCUAAAACAUCAUAGAAUCUGCUGGGAACGUUUCUGCGAAGACAUGGACACCAGGAACAGUGGCGGCGCGUCCUGUGCACGCGCCACUGUCACUGGCGGCGCGUGGUUCACGCGCCGCCGCAGGAAGAAGAACGCAAGGUGGACGAUCUGGAUCAGCUUCUUCACCCCUCCUCUUCCCUACUGCUUGUGAGGAACACCAAUCACCUGCAACCACAAUCAAAAUAACCACAACAGUCGAUUUUAGUUGUUUUUU